rnacentral:rRNA from 1 species
UACGUAGGGGGCAAGCGUUGUCCGGAAUUAUUGGGCAUAAAGAGCGUGUAGGCGGUCCGGUAAGUCCGCUGUGAAAGUCCAGGGCUCAACCCUGGAAUGCCGGUGGAUACUGCCGGGCUAGAGUCCGGAAGAGGCGAGUGGAAUUCCUGGUGUAGCGGUGAAAUGCGCAGAUAUCAGGAGGAACACCGGUGGCGAAGGCGGGUCUCUGGGCCGAUACUGACGCUGAGGAGCGAAAGCGUGGGGAGCGAACAGG